CCUACGGGAGGCAGCAGUGAGGAAUAUUGGUCAAUGGCCGGAAGGCUGAACCAGCCAAGCCGCGUGAAGGACGAAGGUGCCAAGCAUUGUAAACUUCUUUUGUCAAGGGACAAAAUCAGGCUCGAGAGCCUGACCGAGGGUACUUGAAGAAAAAGCAUCGGCUAACUCCGUGCCAGCAGCCGCGGUAAUACGGAGGAUGCGAGCGUUAUCCGGAUUUAUUGGGUUUAAAGGGUGCGUAGGCGGACUGUUAAGUCAGCGGUAAAAGCCCGGGGCUCAACCCCGGCGAGCCGUUGAAACUGGCAGUCUUGAGAUGUCGAGAGGUAUGCGGAAUGCGCAGUGUAGCGGUGAAAUGCUUAGAUAGUGCGCAGAACUCCGAUUGCGAAGGCAGCAUACCGGCGGCGAUCUGACGCUGAGGCACGAAAGCGUGGGUAUCGAACAGGAUUAGAUACCCUUGUAGUC
rnacentral:rRNA from 1 species